rnacentral:rRNA from 1 species
CAGUAGCCACGGGAAUACGUAGGUGGCAAGCGUUGUCCGGAAUUAUUGGGCGUAAAGGGCUCGCAGGCGGUUUCUUAAGUCUGAUGUGAAAGCCCCCGGCUCAACCGGGGAGGGUCAUUGGAAACUGGGAAACUUGAGUGCAGAAGAGGAGAGUGGAACUCCACGUGUAGCGGUGAAAUGCGUAGAGAUGUGGAGGAACACCAGUGGCGAAGGCGACUCUCUGGUCUGUAACUGACGCUGAGGAGCGAAAGCGUGGGGAGCGAACAGGACUAGAUACCCGAGUAGUCCCUGUCUCUAUACA